rnacentral:rRNA from 1 species
GUUGUUAGUAAUAAAAAUUAUGAAAGCAAAAAAUUAUGGCGGUAUUUUAAGCUUUUCAGAGGAAUUUGCUCUUUAAUGGAUAAAACACCUAAAUCUUACUUGAAUUUGUUAAAUCAAUUUGUAUACCACUAUAAAAACAAUUAAUAACUUUAAUUGUUAAAAUUUAUUGAAUUAAAUUAUGUUAAGUCAAGGUGCAGUAAAAAUUUAAGAAUGAAGUGAAUUACAUUUCUUUUCAGAAAUAAAAAAUUAAAUUUACAUAUAGGAUUUGAAAGUAAAAUUAAAAUAGAAUGUUAAUUUGAAUAAAGCUCUAAAAUAUGUAC